rnacentral:misc_RNA from 1 species
AAAGUCGUAACAAGGUUUCUGUAGGUAAGUAAACACUUGCCCCCUUCACCAUCAACUCCCCAAGUAAACCAUUACUAACACUACAUUUCUAGGUGAACCUGCGGAAGGAUCAUUACCGAGUAAGGGUUCCUAGAACGCGUCCGACCUCCAACCCCGUGUUUACCAAAUCAAAAUGUUGCUUCGGCAGGUCCGGCCCUUCCCCUUCACCGGAAAGGAGGCCGCCGCAGGUCCUUGCAUGACCUCGGGCCUGCGCCUGUCGAUGGCCCUAACCGAGAGUAUUGGUGAAACGUGGCAUCUGAGUUAGCUCACUAAAUGAAAAUUAAGAACUUUGAACAACGGAUUCUCUUGGUUCUG